CUCUGUCACAUCAAUGACAGCAUUACUGCCACACUCUUGCAAGAUGUUGAAAGGCCCUCUCCCAACCUUUUUGGCACAGAAAGCUCUAAAAUAUAAGGAACAUUAUAUUUAAAAAAAAACAACACCCUAGAGGUGGCUUAAGAAACUAGCAGAGCAAGAGGAUCUCAAGUGGAAUCCUUCAUCUAGACAGUUCACCAUCUCUAUGAUACCUACAAAAUAAAUACUACCUGCUUUUGGAUG